AUCGCUUCUCGGCCUUUUGGCUAAGAUCGAGUGUAGUAUCCUACUGACCUUAGUAAUCUCAAAUAAAUAUGUAUUAUUUAAAGACAGGUUUUUCAGGCUUAGCCAAAUAGUUGUUGGUUUUCAUGGUAACGUUAAUUUGCUCCAGAGGUAGCAUAUUAUCAGCAUGGU
rnacentral:snRNA from 1 species